GUGUCCGGGCAGUGAGCCUAUGUGGUGGGGGUCACUGUGCCCCUUAACUCCCUGGAGACACGGGAACUGGGUGUGUCAGAACCACUGGAAAAAGUUAUCUCUUGGGAGAUGCCAAGGGUGAGUCCCAUGAGUGAAACCACCUCACAGGAAAAGUCCUUUCAGUCUGUUUAUUAGCUAAGCCCCCUUGGGAUGGAUCUCAACAAAGAUCAGCCUCACACUGAACUUUUGGCUGUGUUCCAAUGUAUAUACUGAGAAUUCCUAGAACAGGCAAGUUGACACAAGGGAACUCUUGCCCAGAAUGGUCUGUUUACUCAGUGGAUAUGAAUUACCCUCAACUGUGUGGAGCAGGGCGUUGUUUAGCCUGAUGGCUCUGGUCCCAUUUACACAGAGGAUGUCUGCUCGCACACAGUUUAUUCUGGAAACCACAGCGAUGGCAUGCGCUUUGUAGCCAGGCCGACCUGGUGUGAUUCUGGCACCUUCAACAUACUGGUUCACCUUGGACACGUGACUUCCCCUCUCCAAACUCCAUCUCCUCAGAUGGAACUAAGAAGACCUAUUUUGCAGGACUGUUACGAGGAUUAAAAUGAUGACCUGUAAAACACCUACUAUGGGGCUUGGCACAUAACAGAUACUUAAUAAACAGCAAGAGCUAAGACACAUGACACCCAGGCACUGUGCCUUCAGUUUUACAACAGAACCUCAUUUCCUGAAUCCUUAUAUCAACUCUACUUGACAACUGAAAAAUCUGAAGCAAGAUGAGCUAUGAUACUUGCAACAGGUCAAAUGGUAGUUGCUUUUGUGCCUCUACCCCUAGGUUAGUCUCUUUGCUUGAAAAAGAGCAGAAGUGGAUGGAAGUGAGAACAGGGCCCAGAAUUCAAAGAUGUUCCCCUUCCAUCUUACCCUCCUUUGCCAGCUCUGCGUAACGUUCGAAGUGGACAGUCUGGUGAAAGAGUUUCUGCAAUUACUAUCUGAGCACUAAGCUUGACUGCUAGCUGAACCAUUGGGUGGUGGACCCUAGUAACCUCUGUUGAGAAACAGGUGGAACAUGGGCGUGGGAUCUGGCAGUGGAGGUGUCAGGGCACCGAGUCCAGCUGCUGGCUGACGGAGGAGUUCUGGGAGGACAUCGGGCUGUGCUGCUGCACCGUUGACGGGAAAGGAAGCUG